AUUUUGGAGGGGAAGGGAAAGGAUUGUUAAGGUGUUUGUGAUGUUUCUUGGUGAUCUUGAAGGCCAUGAUGCAAGCUGAAUCUACUCUCUAUGUAAUUGUUUCAGGAAUCAGGAAUCAGGACAUUAGGCUAGUCUAAUUCUAGAACUUUGUAGGUGAGUUGGCGAGCCCACCAAAUUCCAUUGCGGAUUCCGGUAGCCUUCCUCUUUUGUGCAUGAAGAAAUUUUGGGUAAACGCUAGUUGCUAUCAGGUUAUACACAUCCAUCGUGAGAAAAAUGAUGCCCGAUGCCUUAACUAAAUUCGCUGCUACACAACCCAGAGGAAUACACCUUCUGGAUCAACUUCCGGAGUUUAUUGAGCCUUUGCUAGCUAAUGAUGUAAAUGGUUGGCCUAGAUGGCGCCAAACUGUAUUACUUUGAUGUGUUUUGGGUGUUCCCCUUCCAUUGAGAAUUUAAAAAAAAAU